CCGACUCCGACUCCAGCGAGAGCGAGUACGAUGACAGCGAGUGGGACGACGACGGCGACGACGACAAGUGAACGCUUGUGCGAAUACGACGAUGACGGCGACGACGACAAGUGAACGCUGGAGCGAAUACGACGAUGAGGGCGACGACAAGUGAACGCUGGCGUGAGUACGACGAUGACGGCGACGACGACAAGUGAACGCUGGAUCGAAUACGACGAUGACGGCGACGACAAGUGAACGCUGGAGUGAGUACGACGAUGACGGCGACGACGACAAGUGAACGCUGGAUCGAAUACGACGAUGACGGCGACGACAAGUGAACGCUGGAGUGAGUACGACGAUGACGGCGACAAUGACGGCGACGAUGACGGCAACGAUGACGGCAACGAUGACAAGUGCACGCUGGGGCGAAUACGACGAUGACGGCGACGGUGACGGCGACGAUGACGGCACCGAUGACAAGUGAACGCUGGAACGAAUACGACGACGACGGCGACGCCGACAAGUGAACGCUGGUGCAAUACGACGACGACGACGGCAACGACAAGUGAACGCCACUUGCUGAUUCCAAUAUGACGACAGCAAGUGGAACGACAAUGACGAGUGUUUGAGCGCCAUCUGCUGGCACACAUGGGUGGUGGCGCCACCCAUGCAACGACGACGCGCGUCUUUUACUCGAUCGACUUCAUUAACCGCGUGAUCGACGAUCGUAAUUAAAGGAAUUAAUUUUUUAUUAAUGAAAUAACCAUCGUUUAGAGUGGAGUAUAAUUAGUGGUUAACGAGCGGUGUAUGAUGGGUGGAUUGAGGAUGCGUGGUGGGGAGUGAGAGGGUAGUGAUUAGGUCAAAGGUUCGUGAUUUACAUCGUUAAGGCCGUUCAUCGUUAAUUUAUUUAAUCUUGUUAGGAUCCGCUUUUUAAUCGUCUGCAUACGAGGGUAAAAAUUAAAAUAUUUAAUAAACCUUUUUUUUUAAAUAUAAUUGUGCAAGUCGUCCCAAAAUUCGGUUGUGAAAUAAAGAACAGUUGACCUAUGCGUAAAA